CAUAAAUGAUGACUUGCCAUGCUAAUACCGAGGAAGUAUUGACUUUCGCUGAGUUCAAUGAACAAUAAUGAAAUCCUGAUAUGA